CGUACCUUUUGUAUAAUGGGUCAGCGACUUAUAUUCUGUAGCAAGGUUAACCGAAUAGGGGAGCCGGAGGGAAACCGAGUCUUAAUUGGGCGUUAAGUUGCAGGGUAUAGACCCGAAACCCGGUGAUCUAGCCAUGGGCAGGUUGAAGGUUGGGUAACACUAACUGGAGGACCGAACCGACUAAUGUUGAAAAAUUAGCGGAUGACCUGUGGCUGGGGGUGAAAGGCCAAUCAAACCGGGAGAUAGCUGGUUCUCCCCGAAAGCUAUUUAGGUAGCGCCUCGUGAAUUCAUCUCCGGGGGUAGAGCACUGUUUCGGCUAGGGGGCCAUCCCGGCUUACCAACCCGAUGCAAACUGCGAAUACCGGAGAAUGUUAUCACGGGAGACACACGGCGGGUGCUAACGUCCGUCGUGAAGAGGGAAACAACCCAGACCGCCAGCUAAGGUCCCAAAGUCAUAGUUAAGUGGGAAACGAUGUGGGAAGGCCCAGACAGCCAGGAUGUUGGCUUAGAAGCAGCCAUCAUUUAAAGAAAGCGUAAUAGCUCACUGGUCGAGUCGGCCUGCGCGGAAGAUGUAACGGGGCUAAACUAUGCACCGAAGCUGCGGCAGCGACACUAUGUGUUGUUGGGUAGGGGAGCGUUCUGUAAGCCUGUGAAGGUGUGUCGUGAGGCAUGCUGGAGGUAUCAGAAGUGCGAAUGCUGACAUAAGUAACGAUAAAGCGGGUGAAAAGCCCGCUCGCCGGAAGACCAAGGGUUCCUGUCCAACGUUAAUCGGGGCAGGGUGAGUCGACCCCUAAGGCGAGGCCGAAAGGCGUAGUCGAUGGGAAACGGGUUAAUAUUCCCGUACUUGGUGUUACUGCGAAGGGGGGACGGAGAAGGCUAUGUUGGCCGGGCGACGGUUGUCCCGGUUUAAGCGUGUAGGUGUGUGUUCCAGGUAAAUCCGGUUCACUUUAACACUGAGGCGUGA
rnacentral:rRNA from 1 species